rnacentral:rRNA from 1 species
GGGGAAUUUUGGACAAUGGGGGAAACCCUGAUCCAGCCAUGCCGCGUGUGUGAAGAAGGCCUUCGGGUUGUAAAGCACUUUCGGACGGAACGAAAUCGCAAGGGUGAAUAUCCCUUGUGGAUGACGGUACCGUAAGAAGAAGCACCGGCUAACUACGUGCCAGCAGCCGCGGUAAUACGUAGGGUGCGAGCGUUAAUCGGAAUUACUGGGCGUAAAGCGUGCGCAGGCGGCUUCGCAAGUCAGACGUGAAAUCCCCGGGCUUAACCUGGGAAUGGCGUUUGAAACUACGGAGCUAGAGUGUGGCAGAGGGAGGUAGAAUUCCACGUGUAGCAGUGAAAUGCGUAGAUAUGUGGAGGAAUACCGAUGGCGAAGGCAGCCUCCUGGGCCAACACUGACGCUCAUGCACGAAAGCGUGGGGAGCAAAC